rnacentral:tRNA from 2 species
GAAGCAUAGCUCAGCUGGGAGAGCAUCUGCCUUACAAGCAGAGGGUCAUAGGUUCGAGCCCUAUUGUUUCC